CUGCAGUUCAUUCUAGAUAGGAUCCGUGCACGCCUAGCGGGAUGGAAAGGACGUCUGCUGUCAAUCGUCGGCCGGAGGGUUUUAGUCAGAAGCGUCCUGACGGCAUUGCCGACGUACGCAUUGUCCGUCCUCAGGGCGCCAGUUAAAUUUUUCAAGGACAUUGACAAGGCGCGCCGGCGUUUCCUCUGGGCGGGGGAUGAGGAGCUGAACGGUGGUAAAUGCAAAGUAAGCUGGCCCCAAGUGUGCUCGCCGGUGCAGCAUGGAGGUUUGGGCAUUCUAAACAUGAUUAAAUUUAGUUGUGCUCUUCGGCUAAGGUGGUUAUGGCUACCCUGGCAGCAGCCCUGCCGGCCAUGGGUUGGCACCCCGGUGCCAUGCGACGAGAAGGAUCACAAGUUGUUCAACCAGGCAACUAGAGUCACAAUCGGCGACGGAGCCACGGCAUCAUUCUGGCAAAAUCAUUGGUUGGAUGUUGGAGCUCUCAGGCAAGUCUUCCCAACCCUGUAUGCUCAUUCUCAGAAAGAACAGAUCGGUGGCCGCUGCCCUGGCAAAUCACACCUGGGUAAAGGAUCUCAGGCAUGGAGAUCAUGCAGCAAUCGUCACAGAUUUCCUCUCCCUCUGGCGGCUGCUGGCGGCCCAAAAUGUGACCCUAACAGCAGGCUCCGGAGACUCGAUCACAUGGUCAGAGAGUAG
rnacentral:rRNA from 1 species